CCAAUAGCGUAUAUUAAAGUUGUUGCAGUAAAAAAGCUCGUAGUUGAAUUUCGGGGUCAGUAGGUUGGUCGUGCCACUGGUAUGAACUGGUCUCACUGAUUCCUCCUUCUUGUAGAACCGUAAUGCCAUUAAUUUGGUGUUGCGGGGAAACAGGACUGUUACUUUGAAAAAAAUUAGAGUGUUUAAAGCAGGCUAACGCUUGAAUACAUUAGCAUGGAAUAAUGAAAUAGGACGUUCGAUCCUAUUUUGUUGGUUUCUAGGAUUGACGUAAUGAUUAAUAGGGAUAGUUGGGGGCAUUAGUAUUCAAUUGUCAGAGGUGAAAUUCUUGGAUUUAUUGAAGACUAACUACUGCGAAAGCAUUUGCCAAGGAUGUUUUCAUUAAUCAAGAACGAAAGUUAGGGGAUCGAAGACGAUCAGAUACCGUCGUAGUCUUAACCAUAAACUAUGCCGACUAGGGAUCGGAUGAUGUUAAUUUUUUAAUGACUCAUUCGGCGCCUUACG
rnacentral:rRNA from 1 species